GAGGGUGAUGCCUGCCCAAUGGUUGUAUCUAAAAGCGGUUGAUAAAAGUCGACCUCGUAAGGACAAUUGAAUGGCCGCGGUAACACUGACCGUGAUAAUGUAGCGUAAUCAAUAGCCAAUUAAUUGUUGGCCAGUAUGAAUGGCGCCACGAAGGCCCCACUGUCUUAAGGAAAUUCCCAGUGAAAUUGAAUUCGUAGUGAAGAUGCUACGUGCAAUUUGUUAGACGAAAAGACCCCGUUGAGCUUUACUGGAGCACUUACAUGGCCCUGGCCUUCCCAUGCUUGGGAAUCGGCCGAAUUUAAAUGGGCGGCUUAGAUUAUGUGGCAGCCCCCCGCUGGGGCAAAUGAAACCCCACUCCCCCAUGUCAAAGGGGCUAACCCCCCCCCUUGGGGGGACAGUGUAAGUAGGACAGUUUGGUUGGGGCGACCGCCUUUUAAAGAGUAACGAAGGUGCGCUUAAGGUGCGCAAUUAAUGACUGAAGCCUGACUGCGAGGGGGACACCCCGAG
rnacentral:rRNA from 1 species